ensembl:lncRNA
CCCAAAGUCUUAUUAUGUUAUUAUGUUAAAACAAUAUCUAUAAUUCUAGGUUCAUGCCAGCAGGGAUAUUUCUGCCAGAGUGGCUCUGCGUAUCCUGCUCCUCUAAACACAUCAGGAUCCCUGAUAAAUGGCCCCUGCCCCCAAGGCCACUACUGCCCAUCAGGCACCCUCAACCCAAUGCCCUGCCCUGCAGGCAGCAUGCGCAAUCUCUCCGGUGGUUAUUCUAUGGAGAGCUGCAUGCCGUGUCCAGCAGGGCAUUACUGUGCCGGUGAGGGUUUAGAUUCUCCCAGUGGUCCGUGUGCUGCCGGUUUCUACUGUCCUGCAGACUUCUCCUCCACCACUCCUCAUGCCUUCCUCUGCUCGAAGGGUCAUUACUGUCCUGUGGGCUCUCCCUUGGCCUUGCCCUGCCCUACAGGACAGUACCAGCCCAACCCAGGCUCAGACAGCUGCAUCCCGUGUCGGCCAGGCUUCUACUGUGAGGAGGCCGUAGUGGGAGACCCUUUACCCUGCCCUCCUCACUCCUACUGCCCAGCAGCUACUAUGGUUCCUCAGCCAUGUCCCAAUGGCACAUACACUCCUCUUGAUGUUGGAGGUUUACAGGAUGAGAAAGAGUGUUUGUCCUGCCCACCAGGAAGAUUCUGCAGGGGUGGUCAGAUUAAAGGGGUGUGUGCUGCUGGGUAUCUGUGCAUCUCAGGCAGCUCAGACUUCACACCACAGGGCCGAGCACCGGCCGACAGGAGCCGGUGUGAGUGGGGCAUGCAGUGUGCUGGACCCUGUCCUGCCGGCUUCUAUUGCCCUGAAGCUGCAGAUCAACCUCAUCCCUGUCCUGCUAAUACAGUAAAGGAAACUCCUGGUGGAAGCAGCAUUCAGGAUUGUCUCCCAUGUCCUCCUAAACACUGGUGCAAAGAGGGUGAUCCCGUGCUGUACUUGUGUCCGGAGGGUCAUUACUGUGAUGGAAUAGAUGAUUAUGAGUCUGAGGGAAGGCCUGGGCCGAGACCGUGCCCUUCCUUCACAUACAGGCCAACUCCUGGAGCCGGGAGCAAAGGAGACUGUCUUCGGUGUCCUCCUGGAACUUUCUGCAAUGCCACAGGUCUCACUGAUUUCUCCAGUUUUCCGUGCCCACCUGGGUACUGGUGCAGUGGUACAGGCUUGCCAGUCUUCUGCCCUGGAGGCACCUUGAGGGCACAACCUGGGGCAACUUCAGCCAUUCAGUGUGAGCCGUGUGCUGCAGGUAGUUACUGCCCUGACCCUCGCCGCACAGGCCAGCCGAACACAGCCGGGAUUCCCUGCAGAGCCUCUUACCAGUGUCCCACAGGUUCAGUGGAGGAGACGCCAUGCACAGCAGGCUCAUACUGCGGACCUCAAACAGGAGAACCCACUGCAUGUCCUGCUGGAUACCACUGUCCUGAAGCCUCACACACCUACAACACACCUGAACAAGUCUGCAUGUUCCCAUUUUACUGCCCAGCCAACAGUUCUACCAUGUUCUCCUGUGCUGGUGGUUUCAUGCCUCGAAACAUCAGCGGUCUGAGGGUUUCUCAGGACAGCAGUUGUGUUCAGUGUGAGGCGGGAACCUAUCGACCGAGUCACUCACCUCACCUCCGCUGCCUUACCUGCCCUCCAGGCUACCUGUGCCAUCCAGGUGCGGAAAACUACAGCAGUCAGCCCUGUCCAAUAGGGUAUGUUUGUCCACAGGGUUCGUCCCUCCCUGUCCCCUGUCCUCCUGGAACCUAUGGAAACCACACAAAUGCAGAGCUAAUUGAGGAAUGCCAACAAUGUCCUCCAGAUACCUUCAACCACUUGGAAUCUCAGAGAGCCUGUUUUCCCUGUGGCAGCUCCUCUCAUUCUGAGAGAGGUGCGUCCUCCUGCGUGUGCAUCGGUAAGAACCGCGUGUUCCAGCACUCUGACGGAUCCUGUCUGUGUAAAACGGGUUACGUUUUCUAUAAUGAACUGGACUUUAAGAGUUCCAGUACUGACAGUGAUCUGGACUGUCAGCCUGAGGUGAGUAAACGCUGUGGUGUCGGACAAGUAAGACUGGCUUCCUCCCAAGAGUGUGUUAACCCCUCCACACACUCCUGCAGUCUCAGCUGUGGUCCUCAGGGUGGGAGUCUGGACGUAGGCCUGGGCAUUUGUCAUUGUGAGCGGUACGUAUCAGCGGAGGAGGUGUGUAACUCCUCGUGUGUUUCCACACUGCCUGAGCUAUCCGCCAGAUUAG